CCCUUAGAUGUCCGGGGCUGCACGCGCGCUACACUGUUGCAUUCAGCGAGUUUUAACCAAGGCCGAAAGGUCAAGGUAAUCUUUGAAAGUGCAACGUGCUUGGGCUAGAUGAUUGCAAUUAUUCAUCUUAAACGAGGAAUGCCUAGUAAACGCAUGUCAUCAGCGUGCAUUGAUUACGUCCCUGCCCUUUGUACACACCGCCCGUCGCUCCUACCGAUUGGAUGAUCCGGUGAAUUCUCAGGAUCGUUGUCUUGGUGCUGUUUCAGCAUCCAGGAUAUGCGAGAAUUUGUGUAAACCUUAUCAUCUAGAGGAAGGGGAAGUCGUAACA
rnacentral:rRNA from 1 species